GGCGGACAGUCCAGACACAGGAUGACGGAUCGGCUCCGGGACGAGUGGCGUCGCGACUCGUGUUUAACUGAACGCGGCGGACAGAGUGGACAGACACGAGACGGAUCGGCUCUCGGAUCGCGACUUAUUUAAUUGGAAACAGAUGUGAAUGUUAAGAAGAAAUAGCAAUGGAGAAAGAAGAGAGAGGAGAAGAGGAGGAGCCGAGGAGGCGGC